GGUAACGGCUCACCAAGGCGACGAUCAGUAGCCGGCCUGAGAGGGUGAACGGCCACACUGGAACUGAGACACGGUCCAGACUCCUACGGGAGGCAGCAGUGGGGAAUAUUGCACAAUGGAGGGAACUCUGAUGCAGCGACGCCGCGUGAGUGAAGAAGGUCUUCGGAUCGUAAAACUCUGUCCUUGGUGAAGAAAAGGACGGUAGCCAAGGAGGAAGCCCCGGCUAACUACGUGCCAGCAGCCGCGGUAAUACGUAGGGGGCGAGCGUUGUCCGGAUUUACUGGGCGUAAAGGGUGAGUAGGCGGUUAUAUAUGUCAGGUGUAAAAAGCUAUGGCUUAACCAUAGUAAGCACUUGAAACUGUAUGACUUGAGUGCAGGAGAGGUAAGCGGAAUUCCUAGUGUAGCGGUGAAAUGCGUAGAUAUUAGGAGGAACACCGGUGGCGAAGGCGGCUUACUGGACUGUAACUGACGCUGAGUCACGAAAGCGUGGGUAGCAAACAGGAUUAGAUACCCUGGUAGUCCACGCCGUAAACGAUGAGUGCUAGGUGUUGGGCAGCAAUGCUCAGUGCCGAAGUAAACACAAUAAGCACUCCGCCUGGGGAGUACGUACGCAAGUAUGAAACUCAAAGGAAUUGACGGGGACCCGCACAAGCAGCGGAGCAUGUGGUUUAAUUCGAAGCAACGCGAAGAACCUUACCAAGGCUUGACAUCCCCUUGACAGAUGCAGAGAUGUGUCCUCCUCUUCGGAGGCAAGGGAGACAGGUGGUGCAUGGUUGUCGUCAGCUCGUGUCGUGAGAUGUUGGGUUAAGUCCCGCAACGAGCGCAACCCUUAUCCUUAGUUGCCAGCAUGUAAAGAUGGGCACUCUAAGGAGACUGCCGGUGAUAAACCGGAGGAAGGUGGGGAUGACGUCAAAUCAUCAUGCCCCUUAUGUCUUGGGCUACACACGUGCUACAAUGGUCGGUACAACGGGCAGCGAAGGAGCGAUCCGGAGCGAAUCCCAAUAAACC
rnacentral:rRNA from 1 species